AUUUAUAUAGUAUAAUAAGUACAUUUAACUUCCAAUUAAAAGGUUUAAUUAAUUAAUAUAAAUA
rnacentral:tRNA from 1 species